rnacentral:lncRNA from 1 species
UUUCCCAGGCAAAAUCCAUUCCAUUUGGCCGAAGGAACAGGCCAGACGAUAUCCGACAUGCCUUUCUUCCCCCCAGUCACCAGGGAGCUAAGAGAUGAUUUCCACUAUUUUGCCAACAAACGACCGAGGGCUGAAACAACCACCUGUGAACUGAACAUUCGUUUUGUUCACUGGACUGAAGGAGAAAGGUUUUAUACACUACAUGCUGAUAACUACCAGCCAGAAAAGAAAAGUGGGACAGAAGAUGGAUUCUUCAGAUUUAGCAAUGACUUCUCUAGAAGAAGGGGAGAUUGUGCUGUCAUGAAUUAAAUUAAAAAAAAAAUCAACCAGCAAAAUACAGAUGCUGAGCAACUCCUUUGGCUACAUCGAUGGGUCUCUUUCAACAGCUGUGGGAGCAAAAUGUUCUGGUACUGUAUGACAGGAGCCUGGAGGAACUGAGGAGAUGAAGCACAGGCUCUGGAUCCACUGGGGAAAAUGCCAA